CAGUAGCCGCGGGAAUACGUAGGUCCCGAGCGUUGUCCGGAUUUAUUGGGCGUAAAGCGAGCGCAGGCGGUUAGAUAAGUCUGAAGUUAAAGGCUGUGGCUUAACCAUAGUACGCUUUGGAAACUGUUUAACUUGAGUGCAAGAGGGGAGAGUGGAAUUCCAUGUGUAGCGGUGAAAUGCGUAGAUAUAUGGAGGAACACCGGUGGCGAAAGCGGCUCUCUGGCUUGUAACUGACGCUGAUGCUCGAAAGCGUGGGGAGCAAACAGGAUUAGAUACCCCAGUAGUCCCUGUCUCUUAUACC
rnacentral:rRNA from 1 species